rnacentral:rRNA from 1 species
CCUACGGGUGGCAGCAGUGAGGAAUAUUGCACAAUGGGGGAAACCCUGAUGCAGCGACGCCGCGUGAGUGAAGAAGUAUUUCGGUAUGUAAAGCUCUAUCAGCAGGGAAGAAAAUGACGGUACUUGAUUAAGAAGCCCUGGCCAAUUACGUGCCAGCAGCCGCGGUAAUACGUAGGGGGAAAGCGUUAUCCGGAUUUACUGGGUGAAAAGGGAGCGUAGACGGCAGCGCAAGUCUGAAGUGAAAUGCCGGGGCUUAACCCCGGAACUGCUUUGGAAACUGGGCAGCUAGAGUGCAGGAGAGGUAAGUGGAAUUCCUAGUGUAGCGGUGAAAUGCGUAGAUAUUAGGAGGAACACCAGUGGCGAAGGCGGCUUACUGGACUAUAACUGACGUUGAGGCUCGAAAGCGUGGGGAGCAAACAGGAUUAGAUACCCUUGUAGUC